UGCUCUGACUUUAUUGCACUACU
rnacentral:miRNA from 12 species